rnacentral:rRNA from 1 species
GACGAACGCUGGCGGCGUGCUUAACACAUGCAAGUCGAACGGAAAGGCCCUGCUUUUGUGGGGUGCUCGAGUGGCGAACGGGUGAGUAACACGUGAGUAACCUGCCCUUGACUUUGGGAUAACUUCAGGAAACUGGGGCUAAUACCGGAUAGGAGCUCCUGCUGCAUGGUGGGGGUUGGAAAGUUUCGGCGGUUGGGGAUGGACUCGCGGCUUAUCAGCUUGUUGGUGGGGUAGUGGCUUACCAAGGCUUUGACGGGUAGCCGGCCUGUGAGGGUGACCGGCCACAUUGGGACUGAGAUACGGACCAGAAUCCAACGGGAGGCAGCAGUGGGGAAUAUUGCACAAUGGGCGGAAGCCUGAUGAAGCAACGCCGCGUGCGGGAUGACGGCCUUCGGGUUGUAAACCGCUUUCGCCUGUGACGAAGCGUGAGUGACGGUAAUGGGUAAAGAAGCACCGGCUAACUACGUG